rnacentral:rRNA from 1 species
CAGUAGCGCGGGAAUACGGAGGAUCCGAGCGUUAUACGGAAUUAUUGGGUUUAAAGGGUGCGUAGGCGGAUAGAUAAGUCAGUGGUGAAAGACGGUGGCUCAACCAUCGCAGUGCCGUUGAUACUGUUUAUCUUGAAUAUGGAUGAGGUAGGCGGAAUGUGGCAAGUAGCGGUGAAAUGCAUAGAUAUGCCACAGAACACCGAUUGCGAAGGCAGCUUACCAAGGCAAAAUUGACGCUGAGGCACGAAAGCGUGGGGAUCGAACAGGAUUAGAUACCCCAGUAGUCCCUGUCUCUUAUACC